UAAGCAUUAUGCAGAUAAAUGCAUGCAAGAUUCUAAAUAAGGAAAAGAUAUCUUAGUUCUUUAUUCGAUGAACAUAAUCAUUAAAUAUGGAAAAUGCAGUGCUUCUUGUCAGUGGCUAAUGAUGGAAAAUCCACAAUAUAGCUAAAAGAGAAGAAGCUGAAACACAAUGUAUCAUUCAACUUGUCCGUCAUUCUGGAAAUAAAUAGCAAGUCUUCUACAUUUUUGGUAAUAAUAAACAUAAAAUCUUGUUCUCAAGUAUAAAUAGGUUGAAACUUCAAUAUUUGUUCAGCUGCACAAUUGGAAAGACAUUAUGCAGUUUUCAAAGUAGUUGCUACAAUUCUUUAAGAAAGAUUGUUAUUAUUUCCCAAAUAUUUUUUUCGAGAUAGUCAAGGUUAAAGUCAAGCCAUAUAACUUGAAUUAGUCAUACACACAUCUUUGAAAACCUCACAAACAAAUAGCAUUUUCUAGUCUGAAUAGCAUAUACAAAAAAUAUACAGAAACUGAAGUACAAAAUGAAAUUAGCACUUCAUCUUUGUGAUCGAGGCAAACAUGUCAAACAAAUCCAAAGAGUUAAGAAUUCCCAGGCCAUUGCAACAGGGAGUGAUGGCCAGGGCAAACAGUUUUCUUCUUCCUCUUCUAUUUUCAGGAGGCAGGGAUUAAAGGAACUAAUAAAUAAAGAGUUUCACCCAAAUGAUAUAUGGGAAAGAAAAGACACAAUAUUUUAUUAUCCUAAAUAGCAAAGAUACGUACCCAUUACAUAUGUGAUAAGACAUACUUUUCAUUGCGUAAGACAAAUUUACACCGUAUAUAACAUGUGUUAAUUGUGUGUAAUUUAACGCUCAUAUAUAACAAAAUUUUCUGCUGCAGAAACAGUAAAGACUAAAAAAAUUUAGGGAGUAACUUACCAUUUAUAUUAGUAUUCCUGCAAUUAUUCAAAAAUAGAAGUACAAAAACAUAUGAAAGUUACAACCAAAAAAAUAUAAACAAAUGGUCGUUAUUUUUGCACUAAAGCUUAUUAAGUAUCAUUUUCCAAAGAAAAAUAAAGCAACUACUCAACUUCUUAGCAUUCAGAAUUAGGAGAUGAAUAGAAGCUGAAACUAGAAGAGCAACCCAACUACAAUGGACGAAAAAAAGAAUACUUACACAGUCAAAGCUCAGUAACAUCCAGACUGAACAUAAAUUCCAGAUGUUAAAAUCAAUUGGUUGCACGUCAGAUGAACUCUUUGAUCUGAAACAAUCAGGAAUCAGGAUCAGGACUUUGCAAAAUUUGAUUAAUUAAGGAGAGAGUCAGUAUGUCAAAGAACCAUAAUUACUUUCUCAUUUUCGUUUCCAUCUUUUCAAAAACUUUCUGCAUCAAAACCAUAACUUACAUUGAAAAACAAAUAUAUAGAAAAAUGAAUAAAAUCAUUCAACAGAACUCUGAAAUCAAUUGAUUUAGCAACAAGUUGAGAUGAUUUUUUUUUUCCUAUAAUUCUGAUAAGAACCGAAAAGCGCAGCUAGAUUCCUUUCAGAAUCAAUAACAGAAAAGGAAAAAAUAUCGAUUAAAUUAAAUAUCAAGCACAUAAAUUCAUGCAGGGAUAUCCUCGAUAAAAUUCAACAAAUAGUUUGUAAAAGAAUUCACUCGAAAUUCUGCCCCCACAAAAAAAAAAAAAAAAAAAAGGGGGGGGGGGGGGGG
rnacentral:lncRNA from 1 species